rnacentral:rRNA from 1 species
GACGAACGCUGGCGGCGUGCUUAACACAUGCAAGUCGAACGGAAAGGCCCUGCUUUUGUGGGGUGCUCGAGUGGCGAACGGGUGAGUAACACGUGAGUAACCUGCCCUUGACUUUGGGAUAACUUCAGGAAACUGGGGCUAAUACCGGAUAGGAGCUCCUGCUGCAUGGUGGGGGUUGGAAAGUUUCGGCGGUUGGGGAUGGACUCGCGGCUUAUCAGCUUGUUGGUGGGGUAGUGGCUUACCAAGGCUUUGACGGGUAGCCGGCCUGAGAGGGUGACCGGCCACAUUGGGACUGAGAUACGGCCCAGACUCCUACGGGAGGCAGCAGUGGGGAAUAUUGCACAAUGGGCGGAAGCGUGAUGCAGCAACGCCGCGUGCGGGAUGACGGCCUUCGGGUUGUAAACCGAUUUCGCCUGUGACGAAGCGUGAGUGACGGUAAUGGGUAAAGAAGCACCGGCUAACUACGU